CCUACGGGUGGCAGCAGUGGGGAAUAUUGGACAAUGGGCGAAAGCCUGAUCCAGCCAUGCCGCGUGUGUGAAGAAGGCCUUCGGGUUGUAAAGCACUUUCAGUGGGGAAGAAAGCCUUGGGGCUAAUACCCUCGAGGAAGGACAUCACCCACAGAAGAAGCACCGGCUAACUCCGUGCCAGCAGCCGCGGUAAUACGGAGGGUGCGAGCGUUAAUCGGAAUUACUGGGCGUAAAGCGCGCGUAGGCGGUCUGAUAAGCCGGUUGUGAAAGCCCCAGGCUCAACCUGGGAACGGCAUCCGGAACUGUCAGGCUAGAGUGCAGGAAAGGAAGGUAGAAUUCCCGGUGUAGCGGUGAAAUGCGUAGAGAUCGGGAGGAAUACCAGUGGCGAAGGCGGCCUUCUGGACUGACACUGACGCUGAGGUGCGAAAGCGUGGGUAGCAAACAGGAUUAGAUACCCGAGUAGUC
rnacentral:rRNA from 1 species